GGUUAAGCGACUAAGCGUACACGGUGGAUGCCCUGGCAGUCAGAGGCGAUGAAGGACGUGCUAAUCUGCGAAAAGCGCCGGCGAGGUGAUAUGAACCCUUGACCCGGCGAUGUCCGAAUGGGGAAACCCAGUGCAAUCCGUUGCACUAUCGUUAACUGAAUACAUAGGUUAACGAGGCGAACCGGGGGAACUGAAACAUCUAAGUACCCCGAGGAAAAGAAAUCAACCGAGAUUCCCCCAGUAGCGGCGAGCGAACGGGGAGCAGCCCGGAGUCUGAAUCAGCUUGUGUGUUAGUGGAACGGUCUGGAAAGUCCGACGGUACAGGGUGAUAGUCCCGUACACGAAAAUGCACAUGCUGUGAACUCGAAGAGUAGGGCGGGACACGUGGUAUCCUGUCUGAAUAUGGGGGGACCAUCCUCCAAGGCUAAAUACUCCUGACUGACCGAUAGUGAACCAGUACCGUGAGGGAAAGGCGAAAAGAACCCCGGCGAGGGGAGUGAAAAAGAACCUGAAACCGUGUACGUACAAGCAGUGGGAGCCUCUUUAUGGGGUGACUGCGUACCUUUUGUAUAAUGGGUCAGCGACUUAUAUUCUGUAGCAAGGUUAACCGUAUAGGGGAGCCGAAGGGAAACCGAGUCUUAACUGGGCGUUAAGUUGCAGGGUAUAGACCCGAAACCCGGUGAUCUAGCCAUGGGCAGGUUGAAGGUUGGGUAACACUAACUGGAGGACCGAACCGACUAAUGUUGAAAAAUUAGCGGAUGACCUGUGGCUGGGGGUGAAAGGCCAAUCAAACCGGGAGAUAGCUGGUUCUCCCCGAAAGCUAUUUAGGUAGCGCCUCGUGAACUCAUCUUCGGGGGUAGAGCACUGUUUCGGCUAGGGGGCCAUCCCGGCUUACCAACCCGAUGCAAACUACGAAUACCGAAGAAUGUUAUCACGGGAGACACACGGCGGGUGCUAACGUCCGUCGUGAAGAGGGAAACAACCCAGACCGCCAGCUAAGGUCCCAAAGUCAUGGUUAAGUGGGAAACGAUGUGGGAAGGCACAGACAGCCAGGAUGUUGGCUUAGAAGCAGCCAUCAUUUAAAGAAAGCGUAAUAGCUCACUGGUCGAGUCGGCCUGCGCGGAAGAUGUAACGGGGCUAAACCAUGCACCGAAGCUGCGGCAGCGACACUAUGUGUUGUUGGGUAGGGGAGCGUUCUGUAAGCCGUUGAAGGUGUGCUGUGAGGCAUGCUGGAGGUAUCAGAAGUGCGAAUGCUGACAUAAGUAACGAUAAAGCGGGUGAAAAGCCCGCUCGCCGGAAGACCAAGGGUUCCUGUCCAACGUUAAUCGGGGCAGGGUGAGUCGACCCCUAAGGCGAGGCCGAAAGGCGUAGUCGAUGGGAAACAGGUUAAUAUUCCUGUACUUGGUGUUACUGCGAAGGGGGGACGGAGAAGGCUAUGUCAGCCGGGCGACGGUUGUCCCGGUUUAAGCAUGUAGGCGGAGGUUCCAGGUAAAUCCGGUACCUUAUUAACGCUGAGGUGUGAUGACGAGGCACUACGGUGCUGAAGUGAUAAAUGCCCUGCUUCCAGGAAAAGCCUCUAAGCAUCAGGUAACACGAAAUCGUACCCCAAACCGACACAGGUGGUCAGGUAGAGAAUACCAAGGCGCUUGAGAGAACUCGGGUGAAGGAACUAGGCAAAAUGGUGCCGUAACUUCGGGAGAAGGCACGC
rnacentral:rRNA from 1 species